rnacentral:lncRNA from 1 species
GACGACGCGGCGUCCGAGGACGACGCGGACGAACCCGAGCGCGACGACACGAGACGCGCGUUCGCGGCCGCGAUGACGCUCGUGGACGUGUACCGCGCGGAGCCGAUAUGGUGCUUCCCCCCGCCGAAGCGCGCGAAGAAAGAGGAGCGCGACGCCAUCUACGUCGUCGAAUCCGGAGAGGUGGAUGUCGAGGUGGAGAGAAAGGCGCGUUCUAUACACUGGUCCCCAUACGACCGCGUCGGCGUGGUGAACGCCGAUCCUUAAGGACUUUUGCCGGCUCAUCUCUCCGCCCACCCCCCGCUUUCAAUCCCCGCCCUCGACGCCUUUCAACUUCAACUGACGCCUUUCAACUCCACCCCGACAUCGCUUUGUAUGGAACGAACCAAAGGGCGCCGCCGCGCCGUUCCCGGUCGCGAUGACGCUCCGAAGAGGCGCCGUCAUCGGGUCGUACGCGUCCGGGUUCGCGACGUCCGGGAAGAUGUUCGACGAGCCGCUGGAUAAGGACGUCAUCUUAGCGUUCGUCGCGCUGACGGACGCGAAGCUGUGGCGGAUAGACGGGAUCACGAUGGGCGCGCCGAACUUCAGGCGCGGAGCCCCGUUCGUUCUCCUCACACUGGCCCUCAUACGACCGCGUUCGCGUUGUGAACUUCAUUCCUUGAGGACUUUCUCUCCCGGCGUUCGUUCGUUUCUCUCCGCCCAUCACCCAUCGCUUUCAAUCCCGACGCGCCCGCCUCGACGCCUUUCAACUCCGCUUCUGACGCCUUUCAACGCCACCCCGACGUCGGUUCGUACGGGCAAACACCCUCAGGAAGAUGAUGGCCGCCGUCGCGGAGCGCCGCCGGAGCUGGGACGCGCUGAUGGACGGCGUCCACCUCAUGAAGGCGCUCACGCGCGUGCAGCGGCAGCAGCUGUCGUGCCUUCUCGAGACGAAGGAGUGCGAGGUCGGGGAGG